CGGGCGACCGGCGCACGGGUGAGUAACGCGUAUGCAACUUACCUAUCAGAGGGGAGUAACCCGGCGAAAGUCGGACUAAUACCGCAUGAAGCAGGGGCCCCGCAUGGGGAUAUUUGCUAAAGAUUCAUCGCUGAUAGAUAGGCAUGCGUUCCAUUAGGCAGUUGGCGGGGUAACGGCCCACCAAACCGACGAUGGAUAGGGGUUCUGAGAGGAAGGUCCCCCACAUUGGUACUGAGACACGGACCAAACUCCUACGGGAGGCAGCAG
rnacentral:rRNA from 1 species